AGCUAGUUGGUAAGGUAAUGGCUUACCAAGGCAACGAUGCGUAGCCGACCUGAGAGGGUGAUCGGCCACACUGGAACUGAGACACGGUCCAGACUCCUACGGGAGGCAGCAGUAGGGAAUCAUCCGCAAUGGGCGAAAGCCUGACGGUGCAACGCCGCGUGAACGAUGAAGGUUUUCGGAUCGUAAAGUUCUGUUAUGAGGGAAGAACAAGUGCCGUUCGAAUAGGGCGGCACCUUGACGGUACCUCACGAGAAAGCCCCGGCUAACUACGUGCCAGCAGCCGCGGUAAUACGUAGGGGGCAAGCGUUGUCCGGAAUUAUUGGGCGUAAAGCGCGCGCAGGCGGUCUUUUAAGUCUGAUGUGAAAGCCCACGGCUCAACCGUGGAGGGUCAUUGGAAACUGGGAGACUUGAGUGUAGGAGAGGAAAGUGGAAUUCCACGUGUAGCGGUGAAAUGCGUA
rnacentral:rRNA from 2 species